AUAUGUCUGUGUGUGUGUGUAUGUGUCAGUAUGUCUGUGUGUGUAUGUCAGUAUGUCUGUCAUAGACACACACAGACAUACUGACAUACAUACACAAACAGACAU